UACGAAGGGGGCUAGCGUUGUUCGGAAUUACUGGGCGUAAAGCGUGCGCAGGCGGUUUUCCAAGUCAGUGGUGAAAGCCCGGAGCUCAACUCCGGAACUGCCAUUGAAACUGUGAAACUAGAGUGCGAGAGAGGUGAGUGGAAUUCCCAGUGUAGAGGUGAAAUUCGUAGAUAUUGGGAAGAACACCGGUGGCGAAGGCGGCUCACUGGCUCGUUACUGACGCUCAGGCACGACAGCGUGGGGAUCAAACAGG
rnacentral:rRNA from 1 species